CUACGGGCCGCUGCAGUGGGGAAUAUUGCACAAUGGGGGAAACCCUGAUGCAGCGACGCCGCGUGAAGGAUGAAGGAUUUCGGUUCGUAAACUUCUAUCAGCAGGGAAGAUAGUGACUGUACCUGACUAAGAAGCCCCGGCUAACUACGUGCCAGCAGCCGCGGUAAUACGUAGGGGGCAAGCGUUAUCCGGAAUUACUGGGUGUAAAGGGUGCGUAGGCGGCUGAUUAAGCCAGAUGUGAAAGCCCGGGGCUCAACCUCGGGACUGCAUUUGGAACUGGUCGGCUAGAAUACAGGAGAGGUAAGUGGAAUUCCUAGUGUAGCGGUGAAAUGCGUAGAUAUUAGGAGGAACACCAGUGGCGAAGGCGACUUACUGGACUGUUAUUGACGCUGAGGCACGAAAGCGUGGGGAGCGAACAGGAUUAGAUACCCUUGUAGUC
rnacentral:rRNA from 1 species